UUAAGUUAUUAAGGGCGCACGGUGGAUGCCUUGGCACUAGAAGCCGAUGAAGGACGUUACUAACGACGAUAUGCUUUGGGGAGCUGUAAGUAAGCUUUGAUCCAGAGAUUUCCGAAUGGGGAAACCCAGCAUGAGUUAUGUCAUGUUAUCGAUAUGUGAAUACAUAGCAUAUCAGAAGGCACACCCGGAGAACUGAAACAUCUUAGUACCCGGAGGAAGAGAAAGAAAAUUCGAUUCCCUUAGUAGCGGCGAGCGAAACGGGAAGAGCCCAAACCAACAAGCUUGCUUGUUGGGGUUGUAGGACACUCUAUACGGAGUUACAAAGGACGACAUUAGACGAAUCAUCUGGAAAGAUGAAUCAAAGAAGGUAAUAAUCCUGUAGUCGAAAAUGUUGUCUCUCUUGAGUGGAUCCUGAGUACGACGGAGCACGUGAAAUUCCGUCGGAAUCUGGGAGGACCAUCUCCUAAGGCUAAAUACUCUCUAGUGACCGAUAGUGAACCAGUACCGUGAGGGAAAGGUGAAAAGCACCCCGGAAGGGGAGUGAAAUAGAACCUGAAACCGUGUGCUUACAAGUAGUCAGAGCCCGUUAAUGGGUGAUGGCGUGCCUUUUGUAGAAUGAACCGGCGAGUUACGAUUUGAUGCAAGGUUAAGCAGUAAAUGUGGAGCCGUAGCGAAAGCGAGUCUGAAUAGGGCGUUUAGUAUUUGGUCGUAGACCCGAAACCAGGUGAUCUACCCUUGGUCAGGUUGAAGUUCAGGUAACACUGAAUGGAGGACCGAACCGACUUACGUUGAAAAGUGAGCGGAUGAACUGAGGGUAGCGGAGAAAUUCCAAUCGAACCUGGAGAUAGCUGGUUCUCUCCGAAAUAGCUUUAGGGCUAGCCUCAAGUGAUGAUUAUUGGAGGUAGAGCACUGUUUGGACGAGGGGCCCCUCUCGGGUUACCGAAUUCAGACAAACUCCGAAUGCCAAUUAAUUUAACUUGGGAGUCAGAACAUGGGUGAUAAGGUCCGUGUUCGAAAGGGAAACAGCCCAGACCACCAGCUAAGGUCCCAAAAUAUAUGUUAAGUGGAAAAGGAUGUGGCGUUGCCCAGACAACUAGGAUGUUGGCUUAGAAGCAGCCAUCAUUUAAAGAGUGCGUAAUAGCUCACUAGUCGAGUGACACUGCGCCGAAAAUGUACCGGGGCUAAACAUAUUACCGAAGCUGUGGAUUGUCCUUUGGACAAUGGUAGGAGAGCGUUCUAAGGGCGUUGAAGCAUGAUCGUAAGGACAUGUGGAGCGCUUAGAAGUGAGAAUGCCGGUGUGAGUAGCGAAAGACGGGUGAGAAUCCCGUCCACCGAUUGACUAAGGUUUCCAGAGGAAGGCUCGUCCGCUCUGGGUUAGUCGGGUCCUAAGCUGAGGCCGACAGGCGUAGGCGAUGGAUAACAGGUUGAUAUUCCUGUACCACCUAUAAUCGUUUUAAUCGAUGGGGGGACGCAGUAGGAUAGGCGAAGCGUGCGAUUGGAUUGCACGUCUAAGCAGUAAGGCUGAGUAUUAGGCAAAUCCGGUACUCGUUAAGGCUGAGCUGUGAUGGGGAGAAGACAUUGUGUCUUCGAGUCGUUGAUUUCACACUGCCGAGAAAAGCCUCUAGAUAGAAAAUAGGUGCCCGUACCGCAAACCGACACAGGUAGUCAAGAUGAGAAUUCUAAGGUGAGCGAGCGAACUCUCGUUAAGGAACUCGGCAAAAUGACCCCGUAACUUCGGGAGAAGGGGUGCUCUUUAGGGUUAACGCCCAGAAGAGCCGCAGUGAAUAGGCCCAAGCGACUGUUUAUCAAAAACACAGGUCUCUGCUAAACCGUAAGGUGAUGUAUAGGGGCUGACGCCUGCCCGGUGCUGGAAGGUUAAGAGGAGUGGUUAGCUUCUGCGAAGCUACGAAUCGAAGCCCCAGUAAACGGCGGCCGUAACUAUAACGGUCCUAAGGUAGCGAAAUUCCUUGUCGGGUAAGUUCCGACCCGCACGAAAGGCGUAACGAUUUGGGCACUGUCUCAACGAGAGACUCGGUGAAAUCAUAGUACCUGUGAAGAUGCAGGUUACCCGCGACAGGACGGAAAGACCCCAUGGAGCUUUACUGUAGCCUGAUAUUGAAAUUCGGCACAGCUUGUACAGGAUAGGUAGGAGCCUUUGAAACGUGAGCGCUAGCUUACGUGGAGGCGCUGGUGGGAUACUACCCUAGCUGUGUUGGCUUUCUAACCCGCACCACUUAUCGUGGUGGGAGACAGUGUCAGGCGGGCAGUUUGACUGGGGCGGUCGCCUCCUAAAAGGUAACGGAGGCGCUCAAAGGUUCCCUCAGAAUGGUUGGAAAUCAUUCAUAGAGUGUAAAGGCAUAAGGGAGCUUGACUGCGAGACCUACAAGUCGAGCAGGGUCGAAAGACGGACUUAGUGAUCCGGUGGUUCCGCAUGGAAGGGCCAUCGCUCAACGGAUAAAAGCUACCCCGGGGAUAACAGGCUUAUCUCCCCCAAGAGUUCACAUCGACGGGGAGGUUUGGCACCUCGAUGUCGGCUCAUCGCAUCCUGGGGCUGUAGUCGGUCCCAAGGGUUGGGCUGUUCGCCCAUUAAAGCGGUACGCGAGCUGGGUUCAGAACGUCGUGAGACAGUUCGGUCCCUAUCCGUCGUGGGCGUAGGAAAUUUGAGAGGAGCUGUCCUUAGUACGAGAGGACCGGGAUGGACAUACCUCUGGUGUACCAGUUGUCGUGCCAACGGCAUAGCUGGGUAGCUAUGUGUGGACGGGAUAAGUGCUGAAAGCAUCUAAGCAUGAAGCCCCCCUCAAGAUGAGAUUUCCCAACUUCGGUUAUAAGAUCCCUCAAAGAUGAUGAGGUUAAUAGGUUCGAGGUGGAAGCAUGGUGACAUGUGGAGCUGACGAAUACUAAUCGAUCGAAGACUUAAUC
rnacentral:rRNA from 1 species